UCCACACUGCUUCAGUGUCUGUGUGUAGAUCGACCAAGUAUGUGAUGGUAUCAGCAUCCUGUGGUAGUUGUAAAAUCUGCAUUCUCAGGAGGCAUAAACAUCAAUACCAGAGAUCAAAACUUGGACCUGAGGUAACGGCAGACAGGCUGGAGUCAUACUGCUGGUCUUGUGGGACACAAACAUUAAUUCCAUAAAGAAAGGAUAGCUGCUCUGUCUGCCAUGGCAGAGACCAUCAAGGAGCCCUCAGCGUCACCUAACCCAGCCAUGAAGAGCUCUAAUGCUCUUAAAAGCUGCACCAAGUUGUGCCAGAUUGCCAUUCCACAAUCCAAUGGAUUUAAGGAACACUUCUCUGUCUGGUAGACAUCUGCUCUUACAGUCUGCAAUGGAUUCUUGAAAUCACAGCAAUAUUGAGCAAUCUGGAUGAUUGAGAGAGAAUCAGCAGUAUCUCAACAUUUCAAGGUUGAAAUCACCAUGGCAAGACACAAAAUAAUUUUUUAAAAAAGCCACAAACAAAACAAGGCUAAUCAGGA